AUCUUGCUUCUGGAGUCAGCUAACCUAUGGACUGAAACCUUUACAAACUAUGAGCCAAAAUAAACCUUUCUUCCUCGAAGUUGUGGGGACCAGGUAUUUUGCCCAGCAAUGAAAAAUGUGAUCAAGACAAAGAGAGAGUGAGAGAAGCUAGAGUACCUGGAAUGACUGAGACUACCAGAUGGGUGGAGUCAGAGGAUCACCUGGGAGCUACCUCGGCAGGAAAAGCCCCCACUUCAUAACACUCAAUGCUCUCACUCUGUAGUCCACACUGGCCUUUACCCUGUGCUGAUCCUCCUGCCGCAGCCUGCCAAGUGCUGGGCUCACAGGCUUGCACCACCAUCCCCGGGAGCAUUUGUCUCUUUAGAAUGACUUGCUUCACUCUGCAUGUCUUCAGUUUCUCUUUGCAGCAAGUGUCACAACUUCUUUUUGAGGCUGAAUAAUACUCCACAGUAGGUAUAUACCACUUUUUGUUUAUCCAGUUAGCCCCUGAUUGACAUUGCGGCUGCUUGCAUGUUUGCCCUUAUUUGCAAACACUUAUCACACUAGUGAAAUAGAGAGAGGCUUCCUAUACCAAUCCAGAAAUGGUUGUCUCUUGGGAAACAGGGAGAAAUGGCAGGUGGGAGUCUGCCUUCCCCAAUGCCCCUCCUCCAUGCACCCAGACUUCUUUCCAGCCUGCAGCUCUUGUGCUGUGCUAGCCCAGUCUCUAUCCUCAAAAGGCCUGGACUUUUCCUGGGGGCAGGGGAGGAGCCAAUGCAGCUUAGGUGUUGGUUACAUGUUUGUUUGUCUUAAAUAUUUUAUAAUGAAUAUUUUCAAAGAGAAAUUUUCAGAAGGGUGGAACUGAAAUGCUACCCUGUACACAAAAGAGGACAUUCACACAUGCACACAAGGGAGGGAAGAACCUCCCUGAUCUGGAGGAAGCUGAUGGGAUGCCAGCAAGCAAGGAUACAAGGGAGAGAGGCUUAAUUUUCAUUCACUUUUUGACAUGAAAUAUACUUAAUGACCUUUACAAUAGCAUCCAAAGAAAUGAAAUACUGAGGAAUCAUUCUAACGAAAUAAACUGUCUAUACAUUGAAAACUAUAGUACUCUGAAAAAGGAGAUGGAAAAAUUUACAAGAAAAUGGAGAGAUGUCCCUUGUUCUUGGAAAGGACCAGCAUAGUGAAAAUAGCUCUACUCCCAAAUCUGUUACACAGAUUUAAUGCACUCCUGAUCAAAACACCAUUAUUGUAUGUCACAGAACUGAGAGAACAUUCCUAAACUUCAUUCGAAAACAAAAGAGACCUGAAAUAGCAAAAGCAAUUCUGGGCAACAAGAGCAAACCUGGAGAUACAACAAUCCUUGACUUGAAAUUAUACUGCAAAGCAAUUGUGAUAAAAUCAGCAUGGUAUUGGAAAAUAAGCCCAGACCUGAGGAUUAGUGGAAUAGAGUACAAGAUGCGGACAACUACAAACGCACUAAACCACCUUAUCUUCGACAAAAGAACCAAAUGUGUUCACUGAAAGAAAGGUUCACUGCUGGAAAAACUGGUUUUCCAUAUACUGAAGACUAAAAGUAGAUCAAUGUUUAUCAGAAUGCACUAAAGAAAAGUCAAAAUGGAUCUCAAUUCUAAAUAUUAAAACAGAAACACUAAAUCUACUGGAAGAGAAAAUAUGGAGAAAUCUUGAGGACAUAAAUGUAGGCAGAGACACCAUGAACAAAACUCAGACCGGGUGGGAAAUACAACAAAGAACUAACAAGUGAGAUCUCACCUUAUUAAAAAGCUUUUU